CAGCAGCCACGGUAAUACGAAGGGUGCAAGCGUUAAUCGGAAUUACUGGGCGUAAAGCGUGCGUAGGCGGUUUGUCAAGUCUGCUGUGAAAUCCCCGGGCUCAACCUGGGAAUGGCAGUGGAUACUGGCUCGCUAGAGUGUGUCAGAGGAUGGUGGAAUUCCCGGUGUAGCGGUGAAAUGCGUAGAGAUCGGGAGGAACAUCAGUGGCGAAGGCGGCCAUCUGGGACAACACUGACGCUGAGGCACGAAAGCGUGGGGAGCAAACAGGAUUAGAUACCCCCGUAGUCCCUGUCUCUUAUAC
rnacentral:rRNA from 1 species